UUAAGUGACUAAGCGUACAUGGUGGAUGCCUUGGCAGUCAGAGGCGAUGAAGGACGUACUAACCUGCGAUAAGCUGUGAGAAGUCGGUAAGAGACGCUAUUACUCACAGAUUUCCGAAUGGGGAAACCCACCCGAGAUAACUCGGGUAUCUGUUACUGAAUACAUAGGUAACAGAGGCGAACCGGGAGAACUGAAACAUCUAAGUACCCCGAGGAAAAGAAAUCAACCGAGAUUCCCUCAGUAGCGGCGAGCGAACGGGGAUUAGCCCUUAAGCAUCUUGGAAGUUAGUGGAACGGUCCUGGAAAGGCCGGCGAUACAGGGUGAUAGCCCCGUACACGAAAACAACCUUGAUGUGAAAUCGAGUAGGGCGGGACACGUGACAUCCUGUCUGAAUAUGGGGGGACCAUCCUCCAAGGCUAAAUACUCCUGACUGACCGAUAGUGAACCAGUACCGUGAGGGAAAGGCGAAAAGAACCCCUGUGAGGGGAGUGAAAUAGAACCUGAAACCGUGUACGUACAAGCAGUGGGAGCCCUUCGGGGUGACUGCGUACCUUUUGUAUAAUGGGUCAGCGACUUACAUUUUGUAGCGAGGUUAACCGUAUAGGGGAGCCGUAGGGAAACCGAGUCUUAACUGGGCGUCUAGUUGCAAGGUGUAGACCCGAAACCGGGUGAUCUAGCCAUGGGCAGGUUGAAGGUUGAGUAACAUCAACUGGAGGACCGAACCCACUAACGUUGCAAAGUUAGGGGAUGACCUGUGGCUGGGGGUGAAAGGCCAAUCAAACUCGGAGAUAGCUGGUUCUCCCCGAAAGCUAUUUAGGUAGCGCCUCGGACGAAUACUACUGGGGGUAGAGCACUGUUUGGGCUAGGGGGUCAUCCCGACUUACCAACCCCAUGCAAACUCCGAAUACCAGUAAGUAAUAUCCGGGAGACACACGGCGGGUGCUAACGUCCGUCGUGAAGAGGGAAACAACCCAGACCGCCGGCUAAGGUCCCAAAGUUCUGGUUAAGUGGGAAACGAUGUGGGAAGGCUCAGACAGCUAGGAUGUUGGCUUAGAAGCAGCCAUCAUUUAAAGAAAGCGUAAUAGCUCACUAGUCGAGUCGGCCUGCGCGGAAGAUGUAACGGGGCUCAAACCAGGCACCGAAGCCGCGGAUUCACACUUAUGUGUGAGUGGUAGGGGAGCGUUCUGUAAGUCUGCGAAGGUGUAUCGAGAGGUAUGCUGGAGAUAUCAGAAGUGCGAAUGCUGACGUAAGUAACGAUAAAGGGGGUGAAAAGCCUCCUCGCCGGAAGACCAAGGGUUCCUGUCCAACGUUAAUCGGGGCAGGGUGAGUCGACCCCUAAGGCGAGGCCGAAAGGCGUAGUCGAUGGGAAGCAGGUUAAUAUUCCUGCACGACUUGUAAUUGCGAUGGGGGGACGGAGAAGGCUAGGUGGGCCAGGCGACGGUUGUCCUGGUGAAAGUGCGUAGGUGGUGUUUCUAGGCAAAUCCGGAGACACAACACUGAGACACGAGACGAACACACUACGGUGUGGAAGCCAUUGAUGCCCUGCUUCCAGGAAAAGCCUCUAAGCUUCAGAUUACAAGUCAUCGUACCCCAAACCGACACAGGUGGUCGGGUAGAGAAUACCAAGGCGCUUGAGAGAACUCGGGUGAAGGAACUAGGCAAAAUAGAACCGUAACUUCGGGAGAAGGUUCGCUCUUGAUGGUGAAGUCCCUUGCGGAUGGAGCUGUCGGGAGUCGCAGUGACCAGAUGGCUGGGACUGUUUAUCAAAAACACAGCACUCUGCAAACACGAAAGUGGACGUAUAGGGUGUGACACCUGCCCGGUGCCGGAAGGUUAAUUGAUGGGGUUAGCGCAAGCGAAGCUCUUGAUCGAAGCCCCGGUAAACGGCGGCCGUAACUAUAACGGUCCUAAGGUAGCGAAAUUCCUUGUCGGGUAAGUUCCGACCUGCACGAAUGGUGUAACCAUGGCCAUGCUGUCUCCACCCGAGACUCAGUGAAAUCGAAUUCGCCGUGAAGAUGCGGUGUACCCGCGGCUAGACGGAAAGACCCCGUGAACCUUUACUACAGCUUGGCACUGAACAUUGAACCUACAUGUGUAGGAUAGGUGGGAGGCUUUGAAGGCGUGACGCCAGUUGCGCUGGAGCCGUCCUUGAAAUACCACCCUUGUAUGUUUGAUGUUCUAACGCAGGGCCCUGAAUCGGGCUCGCGGACAGUGCCUGGUGGGUAGUUUGACUGGGGCGGUCUCCUCCCAAAGAGUAACGGAGGAGCACGAAGGUUGGCUAAUCCUGGUCGGACAUCAGGAGGUUAGUGCAAUGGCAUAAGCCAGCUUAACUGCGAGACGGACAGGUCGAGCAGGUACGAAAGUAGGUCAUAGUGAUCCGGUGGUUCUGAAUGGAAGGGCCAUCGCUCAACGGAUAAAAGGUACUCCGGGGAUAACAGGCUGAUACCGCCCAAGAGUUCAUAUCGACGGCGGUGUUUGGCACCUCGAUGUCGGCUCAUCACAUCCUGGGGCUGAAGUCGGUCCCAAGGGUAUGGCUGUUCGCCAUUUAAAGUGGUACGCGAGCUGGGUUCAGAACGUCGUGAGACAGUUCGGUCCCUAUCUGCCGUGGGCGUUGGAUGAUUGAAGGGAGUUGCUCCUAGUACGAGAGGACCGGAGUGAACGAACCUCUGGUGUUCGGGUUGUCACGCCAGUGGCACUGCCCGGUAGCUAAGUUCGGAAUCGAUAACCGCUGAAAGCAUCUAAGCGGGAAGCGAGCCCUGAGAUGAGUCAUCCCUGACCCCUUGAGGGUCCUAAAGGGCCGUUGGAGACCACAACGUUGAUAGGCGGGGUGUGUAAGUGCAGCGAUGCAUUGAGCUAACCCGUACUAAUUACCCGUGAGGCUUAACCAU
rnacentral:rRNA from 1 species